ensembl:snRNA U6 U6 spliceosomal RNA
GUACUUGCUUCAGCAGCACAUAUACAAAAACUAGAAUGGUACAGAGAAGAUUAGCACAGCCCCUGCGCAAGGAUGACAUGCAAAUUAGUGAAGCAUUCCGUAUUUUU